GCUUCACACUCCCGUCCCAGUAGGUGGCGGAAAUGCACCUUAAACUGGUUUACCAACCGCCAUAAAGAAGAAGAAGUGGAGGAAGAAGAAGAAGCAGAAGAGUAAAAGCAGACAUUCUCUGGGCUGCGUUUCCCAAAAGCAUCGUAAGCCGUUGAGCUCCGCUGGAGAAUUUUCGGUGCUGUGGAGAAGGGAACUACGAGUGCUCUGGAGUAAUCGUACAUCCCCAAGUGCAUCGUAAGAAGACAGAGUUAUGAGGUCACCUGCAGGACAACCGGCAGAUUACACUUUAUUCAAUAGAUUACAAUGCAACUGAUGGAGUUUCCAGAAGGCUUUAACCAGCUUGACCUGCUGGAGUCUCAUGGCCACAUGAUUCCAGUGGGGACAAAGAGCGGCUUGGAGGACGAGGAGGAAGGAGAUGAUGAUGAGGAUGAAACCUGCCACACAGAGGAAUGGAAUCAGCAACAGGAGCUUAAAUUACAAGACACUCCAACUGAACUGAUAUUAUGGGCCGCUGAGAAGAAUAAGUGACCUUUAUCUCGAGCAGUGGUUUUCAAACCUGAAUCUCUUAUUUAAAGGGAUCAUGGAAUUGAGAAUCAAUCAGAGAUCAUAUGGAGAAUCAGAAAUCAGGAGAACACUUCACAUCCGUGCUGUAUGGUGGGUGUAGUCGCUUAAGUUCAGAAUCAAAGUCGGAAAGAGCUUUAAUUAUAGUGUGCUUGUAGGCUACAAACAGGGAAUCUUGGUUUUGAAUCUUGCAGUGCACACAUAUAAAUACAACAAGAAGACACAAUCAAUUUUAAGAAUAAAACAGGUUUAGGCAGAAAAAAAACAUUUACAGUUUUGUAAAUAAUAUGAAUUUACAUAGAUAUUGCACUUCAAAGUCUAAGGGGAUGUAUGGCUUCUGGAAUGGUCAAUUUUCAUAGCAGAGUAAAUAGAGACAUAUUUCUGGAUUCUGUAGAUUCUCAGCUACAAUGUGGAUGCAUUGACAAUACACUUUUUGAGACAAUUAUAUGUGUUAAAAUGUGAUAUGUGAUCACCAAGAAAUACAAAAACAGAAUUUUUAUUUUUUUUAUUUUAUAAAAAUACGAAACAUAAAGAAAGUUAUUCACAACAAAUAUUUAUUCCUCAAAGGCUUUAGAACACCUGCAAAAACAAUUGGGUGAAAAAGUAUAAAGAAACAAAACAAAUAUUUACAUUUCUGUGACUGCAGUCACCAUACUUUUUUGUGAAAAAUACAGAAAUAAGAAUAUAAAGGGAACCAAAUGUUCAUUAAAAUGGAAUAUUCUCUAUAGUCUCAAUUUACAAAAUAUCCAAAAACCACCCCUAGAUGGCACUGUGCAAUGCAUUUAAAAGACUUGAAAUAUUGAUGUUUCAAUAUUUGAUGUUUGAUUGUAAAAAAUGUUUUUUUCUCUUCCAAUAUUCUCUUACUGCUGGGAGCUUUAGAACUCCAAUGAAUUUGAACUUCUCUGCCGGGUUGAUGGUGGUCCACUUGGACCUUUUCCCAGCAGCAAUGUUUCUCUCUGCCAGCUUGUUUGCUUUGGCACACAAUGUCCUUGAAUCAGCUCUAAAAAAAGAGCUUGAAAAGGCUGAGGGGGCUUUGCUCUGUGGAGGUGUCCAAUUGCACUCCAGGUUCCAGUCGGGGCAAAACUGUGGAAUGGGGGCCACAUCAGGAUCAUUUUCGGUCUUCCAUCCUUGUUCCAGCUGGUCUGGUGGUGCUGGACAUCUGACAGGUGAAAGUGUGACUGCCUCCUUCCCCUUCCCCUAUGAUGCGACCUUAAGGCAGGGCUCGCAGAUGUACUCGGCUGCUCUGCGGUUUCCUGAUUUAGACUAAAACACACAGAUUUUGUCAUUAGUUUACUGUAGAUUCCCACAUAUCAAAAGCUGUACAGCCUUUCUAAUAAUGAAAUAAAGAUUA